AGGGUUGAAAAUCUAAGAAAUUUAAGAGUGAUGAUGUGGAUUACCCAAUAUUGGUCUGCACAGACCUUGUUGCUAUGGGACUGGACUUGGAUGUAGAUCAUGUUAUCAUGUUUGAUUUCCCUCUGAACUCUAUUGACUACCUCCACGCACUGGAAGAACUGCUCGUAUGGGUGCAAAAGUGACAAGUUUGGUGGCUAAAAGAGACCAGAUGUUGGCUAUACAAAUUGAGGAGGCUAUAAGGAAGAACGAGAGCUUGGAGUAUCUUACUGCAGAUAAUGUUUGUAGGGAUGUUGCUAGAGCUCGAAUAAUGCAAGAGAAGGGAAAGAGUGUGAAACUAAUUAAAGCCUCGAGUGAGAAAAACAAGACUGCAAUAGUGAAACCUCCUACUGUUCACAAGAAGGUUGUGCCUUCCAAGUCAUCAGGAAGAAAGUCCUCUGUUGUGAAAUCUGUGAAAGUACCAGCUCCAUCAGAAUCUUCCAAGAGAAUAGUGAAGGUGUCAAAAUCUGCCAAGCUCCCCACUGCCGGUAACUAAAAACGGGGAACUUGGGGUCAGAGGGACGAGGCAGAUGGCAGAAAUGCCGGUUGAGCUUCAAAA